AGUUUCUCCCAUACACCAGCCACGUAAGGGAUGACGAUGUUCUUCCUUCUGCUGUGCUCCUCUUCCCUGUCCUUCGUGGGAUAUCUUUUUGAGCCUUUCACAAAGGCCCAGUUGGGAUAUCCACACAUCUUGAGGGUUUGUUUGAUGUGUUUCACCACCUUCUCCUUUCCAUCCUGUUUUGUGGGUACAGUCUGUGCUCAGUGCUGGAGGGUUCUGAUGACUCCUAGUUUGUGUUCGAGGUGGUGGGAAUCAAAUAAUAAGUGCUGGUCUGUGUGCGUGGGUUUUCUGUAUACUUAGAUGUUGAGGCUUUGGUCUUCUUCAACAAGAUUUCUAGGGAUCUCCUAUGUCAUUGUCUUUUAACUUAUCAGUAGGCUGUUAAAGCUGCUAAAGCUGAAUAUUUUUCCUUGCUUGUCUCCAACAACGCUCACAAACUUCUUUUUUUUUUAAUGUAUUUGAAUCUUUAGUGAACUCUUGUGAUGCUGUCUCUGUUGAACCAUCUUCUUUUCUGUGUGAGGACUUUUUGCAGUUGUUUGUGAAUAAGAUUUCUGCUCUUAAAUCCCUACUCCCUCAGCCUGCCGAGGGUCCCUCCAUUCCAACAGCGAGUUCAGCUGUUUUUAACCAGUUUGAGCUGGUUUCACUUUCUGCACUCACUGAAAUACUUGAACACCUAUGUCCUGCUUACUGCCCAUCUGACAGCAACCCAUCUUUUUUUUUUUUUUUCUUUCAUAAAAUGUGCCUGAAAGAGAGGCUGCAUGUCGCCAGUAGCUACUUGAAGAAUAGCCUUUUUAGCUUAUUCUGAGUGUGUUAAUGGUUGUUUUUUUGUCUGACUUAUUGAUUUUUUUCUGUGCCUUGAACCAGUCAAAUGGUUUUGGGUGUUUUCCUCUUUUGUGCUGUUUUUAUUUUGUUUUUUUCUGGACUUUUUGUUUUUGGCUGUGUUGUUGGUCAUUGGUUGUGGUGUUCGGAGGAGCGGCCGUUGUGUCCCGUUUUGUGUUCCUGCAAUCAGCUGCUAGCGCUGUCUGUGUCCCCUGAGCUGCCCGGAGUGAGGACUGCGUUCGUGGGGUCUUUGGUGGUGGAAUGGAUGAACUGUGUGCGCUUGAUGGCACCAGGAGAGACUGUGUCAUGAGGAGAGCUUUGGAGAUCUGGGGCCUCAUGUACAAAGACUUGCGUGGAUUUCUCACUGAAACACAGCGUGCGCUAAAAUCCAGAAACUGGCGUCCGCCCCAAAAAAAAUCAGAUGUAUCAAAGUGUGCGUGCACCUGGAUCCAAGCACUAUUUGUUUGUACAUCCCAGUCAACGUGGAAUUGAGCGCACAUGUUGGAGUGCCAAACUCCUCCCUGACCACGCCCCAAUUUGAAUAUACAAAUUAAUUUAAAUAGGGCCUGCAUCGCGGAUUCCCCACUCUUCACGAUCGGGUUUUCACAAUGAGUAAAAAGAGGGAAAGAGGGACUUCACCGAGUCAGAAGUAGAAGUAUUACUAAAUGAAGUGGAGACACGUAGACACAUUUUGUUUGGUAGCCUGUCAUCAGGAAUCAACUCAAAAAGAGAGCGAAGUGAGUGGGAGCGUGUUUGUGAGGCUGUGAAUGCCGUAGGAUCAGAGGAGCGCGUACACACUGAAGUAAAAAAGAAAUGGUCCGACAUGAAUGUGGAGGUGAAGCGGAGGAUUUCGGCACACCGCCGAAACUUGACCGCUACGGGCGGGGGGAUCAGGAGGGGACGAACUGACCCCCUUCGACCAGAGAGUGGCCGCCAUAAUGGGUGACACAGCUCUCCUCGGAGUUGUGGGAGCCCAUGAAGGUGACACAGAUCAUCCCCAAGACAAUGACCCAGGAGAGGGCACUUCCGCCGGCACCGAGCACCCCGCUGUCUCCACCGGUCCCACCAGCUCCACCCUCUCCACCGGCAGCAUGCGCCCCGGCGACUCCACGCCAGCAGCUGACGUCUGCCCGACUGGCCGUGUUCUCACCCAAGCGGUCACAAAGACCAAGAGUCACAAAACGAGAUUGUGAGAGCCAUCCAUGGCAUCAAUGAUCGUCUGGAUCAGAUAAUUACCGGCCCAGGCGAUAUUAGCAAGGCAAUAAAUGCACUUGUGAAUAAGUAACUAAAUUGUGUCCUUGCCUCUUUAUAAGGUUGAAAUGAGGUGCUCCCGGGCCCGUAUCGCUUCCCGGGGUGGGGCGAGGUUGACAGGUCCAGCAUCCGGUUCCUCAGGUGGGGGGAUGUGUUCUGGUGGUGGUAUGCCGUGAAGGUGUGCCACGUGGUGCAGGACAUCACAUGCCAUUACAAUGCGGCACACAUUCUCCGGUCGGUAGAGCAGCAUCCUCAGAGAACUACUUGAUUUCACAUUAUUGACAGCCAUGAUGUUGGCGGAGGUCACCGCCCAUUUCCACGGUCAAUUCACUUUUGAUACAUCUGAACGUUGACGUUGAUGUGGACGUACACCACGUUUUCGGGCGCACGCAACUUUGAUACAUGAGGCCCCUGGUUCAUAGAACCACAGUGCAUCUGUGCCCAGCUUCAGACUCUACGGGUGGACACACUCUGUUGGAGUUCUCAUCCUUCCCUCAGCAGACAACAACAAGGAGAUACCAUGUCAGAUACCUGAUCAAACAACCUCAGACACUGUUUUGCUAACUAUUUUUGCAUAUUUUUUCGUAAUGCUAAUUCUGUACAUUUUUGGAUUAUAGUUUUUAUUUUUUACUUUAAUCUCAUUUUAUUUUAUCUUUCUUGUGUUUACUUUUAUGUGCUACAAAGCUACGGCGACAAAGUAAUUUCCCUUGUAGAUCAUUUAAGUCCAAGUUCAAAAAGGUUUUUAGCUCAGUUGGGUCGUUUAAUUUGUUUCUUAUAAAUCUGUGUCUCAGCUCUGGGUGCGUCCCAUCCUCCUUUGAACAUGCCACUGUGCAGCUUCUUUUAAAAAAAGAAAAACUUGGAUCCCUUGGUUCUGUCUAAUUUCAGGCCAAUUUCCAAACUCCCUUUUAUAUCCUAGUUUUUAGAGAAAGUUGUUCUUAACCAACUUCAAGAUUUUUUAGAUAGUCGUGAAGUAUUUCAGUCUGGUUCUAAGCCAGUCUGGUUCUAAGCACUGAAACUGCUCUUUUGAAAGUUUUUAACGACCUUCUUUUAAACCUUGACUCUGGCAAUUGUGCAUUUUCAAUUCUUUUAGACCUAACAGCAGCGUUUGACACAGUGGAUCACAAAAUCCUCCUGUCACGCCUCAUGCACUGCAUAGGCAACGAAGGCACUGCAUUAGAUUGGUUUAAAUCUUACCUCACUGAUAGAUCCUUCUGUGUGCAGUUGAGACAGUUGUCCUCCUCAGUUUCCCCCUCUGACCUGCGGGGUCCCCCAGGGGUCAGUUCUGGGCCCUCUACUGUUCUCACUUUAUAUGCUAUCCCUGGAGUCCAUAUUUAGGAAACAAGGUAUUUGUUUUCAUUGCUUUGAUGAUGAGGAUGUGCAGGUGUACUACACUUAAAACUGGAUAAAAACGUAUGUUGCGGAGCUCUGUUGUGCAGAGUAGACGCAAACGCAUGCGGUGUGGUCUCAAAACCAUGCUAACAGAGUUUUCUGCUUACCACAGUGUUAUUCUGCAUGAUGUAAGUUUACACAUCAUUUAGUUUAGUGAUGUGGGUAUUGUUUUCAGUUAUCAUGCAUCGUGUAUUAUGUUAUAUUCUGUAUUGUGUACAUUUGCAGAUACCCCAUUGUAUGGCACAGGCUCAGAUGGUAAAGCUGUAGAGGGGUCGCCACAUGUGUGUCCGUGGUCUGUGACUUGCUGGCUCACGUGAUAAUGAUAAUAUGAUGUUUCUUUAAUAGUUCGCUGGUGAAUGACUUUCUGCUGCUUUCCUGGUGGCCAUAGAGGACGAGAGUUUCUGGUUGCAACACACACAUGCCCCCUUCCCCUGAACACAUUAUACAUGCACACAUAAAUAAGAGCUCUUUAAACUGUUUCUUUUUGCUGGCCAGGAAUUCUUUUCUUUCUUUUUUUAACUUUUGGUUUGAAGACUAUUUUGUUUAUUUUAUGGACCAAGAAAGGACUCUAACAAGUAAUAACUUGUUAGGUACAGGUCAUAAGUGCACUAAAGUAGAACGUCAGUUUUGCAAGUGCCAGUCUCUCUCUCUCUCUCUCUCUCUGUUGUAUUUUUUUCAACGUAGUGGCAAGUGCUGCAUUAAAUUGACCAAUGAGAUAAGAUAAUAAUACUAGAAAGUUGUAACAGUAUACGCUUAUAUGGCACUAACUGGUGAUAGCCUUCAGUGCAACUUGCUAGCAUUGCAGAGGCUUCAAGAAGUUGAAAACAUACAAUUUCCAUCCAGAAUGUGAAGAGGAAUUUCUUUAUACAAUGGUGAAACACAAGUGUGUGUAUAUUGUGCCACCAAACUCAAGUGCUGUCUAAAAGAAGAAAUCUGGAGCAUCACCACAGCACUAACAAUGGCAAAUUUAAAGAAAGUUUCUGGCAAAGUGCUACAGCAUUUUGUUGAUUAGGUGCUUGAGAUAAAGACUUUUCUGUCAUCAAGGAAUGAGGAAUGAGGAAAACUGAAUGCACUGAACAGCAACUCCAGGCAAAAGACCGACACCUGUUGGUAGUACAUUCUGGUCUGUCCUUUUCUUUAUCUUAAUAAUGAUAAUAAUAACAAUAGUAAUAAUAACAACAAUUUAUAUAGCACCUUUCACAAAACCCAAGGACGGUUUACAAGCUUCAAUAGGUAGAUCUUGCCUUUCAACAAGGUGGAGGUCAGGGAUCUUGGGCUUGAAAAAUCAGGGUUGUCAGGGUACCUACGCAAGUAUGGAAAGUAUGGAAAAGUAUGGAGUUUGAUUUUAUAAAUUUUCCAGUCUAGAAAAGUAUGGAAAAAUAGUCAUGUUUCCAAGACUGUUACCACUGUUCAAAUUUCUAAAACCUAAGACCAAUUAUAUUUGGCCAGCGCCUUGCCUCACUGUAGAUUUGUUUUUUCCCCCACCAUCAGUACUCGCUUGCUGCGCUCGCUCUCAUUGAAUUCUUUUUAUUGGUGCACUUCCAUUCCUGACCAAAGACCAGCAAGCGAGUGAGAGGAUGCAGAUGCAGCGUGACCAAUGAGCGUGACGCAUAGACAAAUGAAAAUUUUAAAAAAAUUGUGAAAAUGAUUAUCUUUUUUUUUUUUUAUACCAAGAUCAAUUCCCUUGAAGUCUGUAUGAUUAAUUGAGGUAUGUUUUGUCCCAUUUUCUGCACUAGUAAGUACAGUACUGAUUUCAUUCGUGGCAUGUUUUGUCCGAUUUGACUUUGCCUACUGCAUUAAAUGCCUGUGUGUUUGAAGAUA